rnacentral:rRNA from 1 species
UACGUAGGUCGCAAGCGUUGUCCGGAUUUACUGGGCGUAAAGAGCGCGCAGGCGGCUGGUCAAGUCCGAUGUGAAAUCUCCCGGCUCAACCGGGAAACUGCAUCGGAAACUGAUCGGCUUGAAGAUGGGAGAGGGUAGUGGAAUUCCCGGUGUAGUGGUGAAAUGCGUAGAUAUCGGGAGGAACACCAGUGGCGAAGGCGACUACCUGGCCUGUUUCUUGACGCUGAGGCGCGAAAGCUAGGGGAGCAAACGGG